AUCUUUGACUCGAAUCUUCAAGUUCGACCGGGAGUUUCUGCUCCUUCCGCCGGCCAUUGCCUUCAAAUUAGGAGUCCGGUGGUUCAUCGGAGCACGUUCUUGACGAUUCAACUCUGUGAACAAGUUCAGAGAGCUCGUUCAAGAAUGGCCGUUGAGGCUUAGUACAUGAACGAUAGCAAUGAAGACCAGAGGCUUCCUCUUCAUCGCAACCCUAAAGAGUUCGUCUCCAUGGACCAAUUAGCAGUUAAUGAGGCUGUUCCAGGGAGAGCCCAUUUGGACCCCGUUUAACCGACCACAAGGGCAGCAUCCAGCAAGGAAAGAGUACCUCAACACCUUCACUGAGAAAGCUGGAGCGCCACUCCAGGCUCAUUAAAGACUUGUGUGUAUUCUUCUGUACUAUACUAUGACAAUCAAUACAAAUCUGUGAGGUUUAGCUCAGGCUGUGCAUUGUUGAAAAGUUGCAGGGCUCUUGGAGAUCAGUGACUCGUUUAACACUGGAAAAUGUAGGAAAGUUUGUUGCCACAAAGCAAAUCUCUGAAUUUUUUCAGUCAGCAACUGCUGGAGUUGGAUUUUAUGACAGCGAGGACCUAUUUGCUUGGUUUGGUCUAAAAGACUAUGCUUGCCAGUUGCUCUUUUCUGCUGCUCAGCUGCUCCUAAAAAGUUCAAUUAUUUCAUAUUCAGCAGAAGGAUCAAGCAGAAGAUCAUGAAAACACACCUGGGAUGGGAACAAUAUCAUUACCCUGAAGGAGCAGCCAAGCUAAAGCCAGCUGAACUGGGAUAUAACCAUGCUUCCCAGCUACAUUAGCAAGCCUUUGUAGAUAAGUUCAUUCUGUUCCAAAUUCUUCUUGCUGAACCUUGAAUGAGAAGUCUGUCAAACACAUCACAAACAAGUAUAUGGAUCAGUUUGUUAUGCAAUACAACAGAGCGACCAUGGCAGAACUUGCACAGUAGUCUCCUUUUACGGACCUACCAACGAACGUUCGGCUCAGAGGACUGUAAGUCACUGUCCCAACUCCCAGAUCCCUGCAAAACACCCUGGCUUCAUCCACCAAGUCUUUCAACAUAUAACUUUGGGCCUACUAAACACGAAACUUGAAUGUGCUCGAGACUUGCUUCAAAGCACUUCCUUACAUAUUCAGGGAGCUGCUUCAAGGCCUGCAAAAUAAAACAUCUUCAGUCAAUUGGUAAGGUCUCAAACACCACCUUUUCAAUCGUGAUUUCAUUGUCAUGAUCAGGUCCAUAAAGAUCAGAAGAAUAAAAAAAUGUUAUGCCUUUGAUGCAAGCUUGUUCGAUAAUUUGGUAUCCAACACUGGGACACCCUGAAAAGCCCUGCACACCCAAAACCCAACCUUGGAACUUGCAAAGUCUUAAGGAUUUUCACUGUCGAACCAAAAGUUUCGUGUUCUUUUUCAAGUUCCCAUUUUUUAAAAGUGAUCAAUCUUUAUCUCUACUCCUUGGCUAUCCAGUUUCACUCUGGGGAUUUGGAUCAGAUUUUGGGGCUUUACCUCCAUUUUGAAGAUAUCAGAGGAGCUUAUACUCUGCAGAUAUUGCAAUUUCCUGUGGAAUUUUCUUGAUGAUUCUUUCCCCUAAUGGAACCUUUUUGCACCCUUUGAUUAUUGAUAGUGUGUUGAGUUUCUUGUUUCAUGACAAAGGAAUAUGCCAUGAAAGUAGCUAAAACUGAACCUCCUACAUUGUCUUUGAGGGUGUAAGGUCAAUUCUUCCACCUUA